UACAGAGGUCUCAAGCGUUGUUCGGAUUCAUUGGGCGUAAAGGGUGCGUAGGCGGCGCGGUAAGUCGGUGUGAAAUCUUGGAGCUUAACUCCGAAACUGCAUUCGAUACUGCCGUGCUUGAGGACUGGAGAGGAGACUGGAAAUUUACGGUGUAGCGGUGAAAUGCGUAGAUAUCGUAAGGAAGACCAGUGGCGAAGGCG
rnacentral:rRNA from 1 species